rnacentral:rRNA from 1 species
UACAGAGUGGGCAAGCGUUGUUCGGAAUUACUGGGCGUAAAGCGCCCGCAGGCGGCUUGCCAAGUCUGACGUGAAAUCUCCCGGCUCAACUGGGAGGGUGCAUCGGAAACUGGCAGGCUUGAGACCGGGAGAGGUGAGUGGAAUUCCCAGUGUAGCGGUGAAAUGCGUAGAUAUUGGGAGGAACACCAGUGGCGAAGGCGGCUCACUGGACCGGAACUGACGCUGAGGCGCGAAAGCGUGGGGAGCAAACAGG